UGACUACUGCAAAUGGACUUGGUCUUGUCAAGAACCCUAGCGGCGAUCUUCUUCAAGUCGGAGUCGACGAUCGGGAAAACCUCAGCGGCGCCGGGACCAGCGAGACCGACGACGGAGGAAGGGGUGGGUUUGGAGUGGACGACGACGAGCUUGAAGAGGUCGCCGGAGGAAGGAGUGAAGAAAUGGUCGAGCGUCCAUUGCAGCGCGUACAUGCUGUGCUCGCUGUCGUCGAUCCCAACCACCAUCACUUGCUUCUCAGCCGCCAUUGUUCCUUCUGGUAUU
rnacentral:lncRNA from 1 species